rnacentral:rRNA from 1 species
AGAGUUUGAUCAUGGCUCAGGAUGAACGCUGGCGGUGUGCCUUAAGCAUGCAAGUCGAACGCUCCGCAAGGAGAGUGGCAGACGGGUGAGUAACACGUAGGAAUCUACCUCGAAGUGGGGGAUAGCCUCUCGAAAGGGAGGGUAAUACCGCAUACGAUCGCAAGAUCAAAGCCGUAAGGCGCUUUGAGAGGAGCCUGCGUCCUAUCAGCUAGUUGGUGAGGUAAUGGCUUACCAAGGCUAUGACGGGUAACCGGUGUGAGAGCACGAUCGGUCACAAGGUUACUGAGACACGGAACCUACACCUACGGGUGGCAGCAACUGGGAAUCUUGCGCAAUGGACGAAAGUCUGACGCAGCGACACCGCGUGCGGGAUGAAGCUCUUAGGAGUGUAAACCGCUGUGGCGAGGGAUGAAUUUUGACAGUACCUCGCUAGAAAGCACCUGCUAACCACGUGCCAGAAGCCUCGGUAAUACGUGGGGUGCAAGCGUUAUCCGGAUUUACUGGGCGUAAAGCGUACCGUCGGCGACUUGAUAAGUUUCCUGUUUAAGCCCAAGGCUCAACUUUGGAUCAGCAGGAAAAACUAUCAGGAUUGAGUCUGUUCGGGGAAGUUGGAAUUCUCGGUGGAGGGGUGAAAUCCGUAGAUAUCGAGAGGAACGCCAAGCGCGAAGGCAGACUUCUAGGACACGACUGACGCUCAGGGACGAAAGCUCGGGGAGCAAAAGGGAUUAGAGACCCCUGUAGUCCGAGCCGUAAAUUUUGAAUGCUAGCUGGUUCCGCUUUGCGGGACUGGCGCAAGCUAACGCGUUAAGCAUUCCGCCUGGGGAGUACGGCCGCAAGGCUAAAACUCAAAGGAAUUGACGG